GUCUAGAAGAUCAUGGAUCAAGGUGACGUUGAUCUUCAGAAGAUCGACAAAAAGGAGAAUCUGGCCGACCCCUUCACUAAAGCACUGGUAAUAAAGGAGUUUGACAAUCACAAGUCGAAGAUGGGUAUUAGAUACUGUGCCGAGUGGCUUUAAGAUAAGUGGGAGUUGUUAGAAAAUUAUCCCAAAAGCCAAUCAUCAGUCUGU
rnacentral:lncRNA from 1 species